UAUCCUCCUCAACACCGUAUUCUCAAACACCUGCAAUCUAUGUUCCUCCCUCAGAGUGAGAGACCAUGUUUCGCACCCAUGCAAAAUAACAGAUAAUAUUUUAUAUUUAAAUAUAGUUGGUUAUGUGUGUAAAAUGAAGUAUUUGUUAUCAUUCGGAUGAAGAAAUGCAGUGCCGUAGUAGAAAUUAGGUGAAACAGCAAUCAGCCAUAGUCAGUAGACGUUGAUUUAUCGUGUUUAUUUAGUGUUUACAAUGUAGGCAAUAUUGGUGUGCAUGUAGACAUGAAAUUAAGAUUUGUCUGUGUUGAAUAGCAGUUCCAAGUGUUGAAAUGCCACAUUGGAACUGUGUCUGUGAUUUUGUGGGGGUUUUGCUAUUUUCCUCGAUCCCUGCAAUUUAUCAGUCUUUAUACCUAUUUUUAUCCAUCUUCUGUGAGUCUAGCUGGCUGUUUUACGGGAUGAAUCUGCUAUUACUUUUAAUAACAUGCAGAGGUUAGCAUAGGAGAAUGUACAGAUUGAUUCGUUGGUUAUUUAACAAUAUUUUUUCAUCUGCGUAGGUUUUGUAGUACCAGAUAAUGGAUGACUGUGAUUGACUGUUUGGAAAGAAUAUGAAUUGAAGCAAUCAUGGAAUGUUUAUAGUAAGUGGACCUCCUUGCCAAGAUUGAGGCCAGGACCUUCCAUUUACCAUCAUGUCACUGUUGGUGUAGGUGUUAGUUAACCUGACUGAGAAUUUUAUUGAUUUUUGUAAUUACAUUGAGUCAGUUUCCCUGGUCAUGCCCUCUCGCUGUAUCGUCAUUCUUGAAUCAAAUGGUGUCCUGUUAUCGAUGGUAUGAAUUCAUUAUUUUCUGAAGUUCUAAAUUUUAAAAUCCUGGAAAAUAGGAAAUUAUGUUCUGAUCCCAUGUUCAAGUAAAUUUAACAUCUGAGAAGAAAUUUUAUUGUGGUGGAUUUUGUUUUCAUAUUUUCAAAUAAAUGGACCCCAAAAGUAGAGCAAAGGGGUCCUCUGUCAGCCUUCGUCUGACACUGAGAAAAUCUUGUUCCAUAGACUUGUGUGUUAAAAAAUGUAUAAAUUAUACAAAGUAAGUUGGACUUGUGGCAUGUCAUAUACUCAGAUAAAUAGACCUUAAAGGUCUUCUUGCUAAGUGUCCACUUCCCUUGUUGCCUCCAGAAUGAUAGUCGCUUUAAGAGACGGAAGAGUUUGGGUGAACUGGAAAGUGUGGAAUAACUUAGAUCUUAAGGUACCAACUGUGCAUUAACUAACUAGUUACUGGUAACGUGACAUGUGUAGCUAGCUUAAUUAACUUAUUUUUAUGUUGGACAUCAUGUCUGCAGUGACCUAAGUGUGGCUGCAAAAUUUCAAGCACAAAUGAAGAAUUGGAAUAGCAGCAGCAUUACGGACUCUUCACACUCCUGAGAGGAUUGUAGUGAGGGGAGAGGAAGAAGGGAACAAUGUGUGCAUGUACAGUUUUUUAAUUAAACGUGUGAAGUAUAAGAA